UUUCUCUCCCUAUACCACCAGGUGGUGCUCUGUCCUCGUUGGUCCUCCACCUUGGGCUGGUUGGCUCAUCACUGGGGAGUAUUUGAGCAGUGGACUGUCACUACCUCGACGCCAGAGUGUUUGCCAGUUUUGGGAAGUCAUCCUGCAUACUGGAUUAUUGGCCUUCUCCCCCCUGGAAGGAUUUGUUUGAGCUCCACAUUGAGCAGAGGAUUUAUCUCCACACGUCCCAUUCAAGUACUCCUGGAAAUCUAAGUGGCAGUCCGCUUCAUUGCUCCUCAGGAACCAACCAAACCAAAACCUGUUCGCCCUCCAACAAGCCACUCUAUCUCUGGAAAAACCCACACCGACUGGAUACUGGGAAGAAACCUUUCUCCGCAAACUUCCAGUUCACCAGCCCUCUGAGUUCAUCUGAAUCCAACCCAUUUGGAUUCCUAAUAAACCUGUUAAACUUUUACUCUGGUUUCUCUGAGUGGUUUUACUGCAUGUGGGUCAGAUCUCUUUAAAACACUGUGACAGUUACGAUAGUAAUUGUAAAGUGUUACCAAUUGUUUUCCAAUAAUUGAAUUAAAACAUAAUUGGGUCAGUUUUUUGCAUGAAAAGAAUAAUAAAAUAAGUUAUUUCAAGUGUAAAUGAACUUAAAAGUGAGAUCUGAAGAAUCAGAGAAAUACAAGAAGCUAUUAGAAAGAGGAUGUUGAAAGAGAUGAGUUUCUGGCCUUAAUUCAAGCUGGGAAGAAGAAGAAAGGCGUUGUGUUUUGAUUAAGUUAUUUGCAAUGGGAGUGGAAAGAUGUUUUUUUUUCUUGGCCAAAAAAAACAACACUCCUGACAGUGUGUCCUUUUUCCAAAUAUGCAAACAAGGCUGUGAUUUGUCAAAGUAAAUUGAUGAUUACUGUAACCAUGAACAAAAAUCUUGAUCAUAAUGAAAAACAUCGAAGAGGUUUGGAUCACAGGACAUUUCUAACAGAUUUUAAUGUGUCGUGAUGUGAAUUAUAAUCCUUGACAUUUUUUCCCAAAAUCUUAUUUGGCUGAGCCAGCACCUACAGUAGACCAUUGGAGACACCACUGGUGUUUUGAAUGUAAAGAAAAAUAAACU